UCAGAUCGGCGUACCAAGACCGGCGAGGCCAAUCUGGAGCGACCAGGAUCAUGGGAAUGCCUUCUGCCGCGAUCUUCCGGAGAACCCGAGGCAGUAGUGGAAUGGGAGGAAACACAUACAGAAGGGAAAAUUCUUGCCACGGAAGAACGAGGGCGUCGGCGCCGUACGCCCUCGGGUCCCUUGCCCUGGCCAGGAAGGUGGGAAGCUUGUGGUUGAACCUGGAGGCCAUGAGGUCCACAUCCGGACGACCCCAACGAAGGCAAAUGGACUCGAACACGUCCGGGUGUAGCGACCACUCGCCCAGGUCGAUGGUGGCCCGGCUGAGGAAGUCCGCCGUUCAGUUCUCCACCCCUGGAAUAUAAAUCGCUGACAGGGCCGGAACGUGAGCUUCCGCCCAGAGGAGAAUGCAGGUAACCUCUCGCAUCGCUGCGAGUACCCCCCUGGUGGUUUAUGUAUGCCACGGUCGUGGUAUUGUCCGAUUGUACACGGACGGGGUGCCCUUGACUAGAUGGG